rnacentral:rRNA from 1 species
GUGCCAGCAGCCGCGGUAAUACGAAGGGGGCUAGCGUUGUUCGGAAUCACUGGGCGUAAAGCGCACGCAGGCGGAUUGAUAAGUCAGGGGUGAAAUCCCGGAGCUCAACUUCGGAAUUGCCUUUGAUACUGUCUAUCUUCGAGUUCGGGAGAGGUUGGCGGAAUUCCUAGUGUAGAGGUGAAAUUCGUAGAUAUUAGGAAGAACACCAGUGGCGAAGGCGGCCAACUGGCCCGAUACUGACGCUCAUGUGCGAAAGCGUGGGGAGCAAACAGGAUUAGAUACCCUGGUAGUCC